rnacentral:rRNA from 1 species
UACGGGGGGUGCAAGCGUUGCUCGGAAUCACUGGGCGUAAAGCGUCCGCAGGUGGGUGUGUGUGUCGGAUGUGAAAGCCCAGGGCUCAACCCUGGAACUGCAUUCGAAACUGCACAUCUUGAGUACGGGAGAGGGAAGCAGAAUUCCUGGUGUAGAGGUGAAAUUCGUAGAUAUCAGGAGGAAUACCUGUGGCGAAAGCGGCUUCCUGGCCCGAUACUGACACUCAUGGACGAAAGCGCGGGGAGCAAACAGG